rnacentral:rRNA from 1 species
AUUGAACGCUGGCGGCAGGCCUAACACAUGCAAGUCGAGCGGAUGAAGGGAGCUUGCUCCUGGAUUCAGCGGCGGACGGGUGAGUAAUGCCUAGGAAUCUGCCUGGUAGUGGGGGAUAACGUCCGGAAACGGGCGCUAAUACCGCAUACGUCCUGCGGGAGAAAGUGGGGGAUCUUCGGACCUCACGCUAUCAGAUGAUCCUAGGUCGGAUUAGCUAGUUGGUGGGGUAAAGGCCUACCAAGGCGACGAUCCGUAACUGGUCUGAGAGGAUGAUCAGUCACACUGGAACUGAGACACGGUCAAGACUCCUACGGGAGGCAGCAGUGGGGAAUAUUGGACAAUGGGCGAAAGCCUGAUCCAGCCAUGCCGCGUGUGUGAAGAAGGUCUUCGGAUUGUAAAGAACUUUAAGUUGGGAGGAAGGGCAGUAAGUUAAUACCUUGCUGUUGUGACGUUACCAACAGAAUAAGCACCGGCUAACUUCGUG